UACGUAGGGCGCAAGCGUUGUCCGGAAUUAUUGGGCGUAAAGAGCUCGUAGGCGGUUUGUCGCGUCGGAUGUGAAAGCCCGGGGCUUAACCCCGGGUCUGCAUUCGAUACGGGCAGACUUGAGUACUGCAGGGGAGACUGGAAUUCCUGGUGUAGCGGUGAAAUGCGCAGAUAUCAGGAGGAACACCGGUGGCGAAGGCGGGUCUCUGGGCAGUAACUGACGCUGAGGAGCGAAAGCGUGGGUAGCGAACAGG
rnacentral:rRNA from 1 species